rnacentral:misc_RNA from 1 species
GAAAUGCGAUAAGUAGUGUGAAUUGCAGAAUUCAGUGAAUCAUCGAAUCUUUGAACGCACAUUUCGCCCUUUGGUAUUCCUUAGGGCAUGCCUGUUCGAGCGUCAUUUAAACCCUUCAAGCUCAGCUUGGUGUUGGGUGACUGUCCGCCGCCCCCGGGCGUGGACUCGCCCCAAAUCCAUUGGCGGCCGGUACGUAGGCUUCGAGCGCAGCAGAAACGCGAACUCGAGCCCGCGGUGUCGGCUCCCAGAAGCCAUCUCUUUUAUUUUGACCUCGGAUCAGGUAGGGAUACCCGCUGAACUUAAGC